CGUAUAUCCUUACAGUGUUGUCUUUUGUGUUGCUGGUCAUAACGGCCAAACACAGAGAGUACUUCUGUUGUAAGGAAAAACCACUCAGCAAUUUUGAGAAGUUUCGAAUUUGGCUGGGUUUUCUUGACAAACCAAAACCAUGCCCAGGAGAUGAGGACCUCUACACUAUGGCAAAUGAGAUGGGUGUUUCUGCUGUUGCUGCCCUCUCUGGUACAGUUAUACAGUUGUAGAACUGAUCCACAUACUUAUACAGACGCAUAAUCAAGGUCAUGAAAGGAGGCUUGCAGUACCUGAAAGAUAUAUUAUAAAGGAUAAUUGAAAUGUUCAUGUGUAUUUUUACGAGUUGAUGGUAUCAACUCAUGUUAUGUGACUUGUAAGGGAUUCCCCAAUGUAUCGAAACUAAUCACUUUUUCAUUUGAGUAUUUUGCG